GCCAGGCGUGGUGGCUCACGCCUGUAAUCCCAGCACCUUGGGAGGCCAAGAUGGGAGGAUCACUUGAGGUCAGGAGUUUGAGACCAGCCUGGCCAACAUGGUGAAAUCCCAUCUCUA
rnacentral:SRP_RNA from 1 species